GCGUGUGCUGUGUGUAAGGGGCUGGGAGGGCUCAGCGGGGAGCGCGGAGGCCGCUUUCUUUCAGGGCUCUGGGGUCCGUGCGCAGGGGCGGUGGUUCUGCGAGGAGCGCGCGGGCGCGGCGAGCCGGCUCAGGGUGGAGUGGGCUGCGCGCUUGCCGACCCCGGUGCCGGAGGCUCGCGGACGCCAUUCAACACGCCCCGGGCGGGUGUGCCUCGGGCCGGAAACCCACGGGGCAUUUCGGGGCCGCCACAUGCGUGACUGACGGGCGGAGCAUCCACGCCCCACCGCCCUGUCUAAACCGUUCGCGCCAGAAGCGCUACCCCGCCGUCUCCGGCCGGCUCUUCGCUCUGCAGCCAGCGGACAAAGAAAACGGGAGUGACGGUGGCCCCGACACGCUGCCCACGUUAGGGAAGGGGUAGCCUCGUGUGCCCGAGCUGGGUCCGGGCAGGGUCCCUGCGGGCCCGGCUGUGGUCAAAACCCGGAGGUCUGAGCACUUCCCGAUCCGGAAGGCUCGGCGGCGCCCACACUCAGUCAGGGCAUGCUCAGUCGCAGAGCAGGUUUUCGGGCUUGGAAGUAGGAAGCUUUUGCACCACACACCCACACUCCGGCUCAAAUUACCUCGCCCAGACUCCGCACUCAUUGGUCCCGGGGCGCGAGUCUCACACCCCCAAAUGUUCUCCCAUUGGCUACCGCCAAGGUUUUAUCAGUUUAGGCUGCUUCAUUGGCUGAAAAGUAGCCUGCGCUCGCUAUUGGUUAUUUAUAGAGAUUGAGCUGCGAGGCGGAGGCACAGCUGUUCUUUCUCCGCGGCUCCCCCGCCCUCUUCCUCCCACUUUCCCUACCCAGUCGUUUCGAAGCUAAAGUGAAAAAACAGGAGGAAUUUAGGCGGAGAGCUCAGACCUAAAUAUAGUUCUUUGUUAGUGUUUUCGAGAGAGUCUGACUUCUCGUGCCCAGUCACGACCGUCCCUUAAAGGGAGCAGAAAGGGCUAAUUACAGUUUUGAGUCCGCAAGAAACCACAAAGUUUCCAAGUUUUUUGCACGGAGGGGGAUGGGGCUAGGAUGAGAAAUGGGCCUUGGAAUUCGUGUCCCCCGGAGGGGUCGGGGGAAGGUCCAGGCUUGCUCCGUAGGAAGCGUCUCUGCUGUCGGGCGGGCAGUUGCUAGACUUGGCUCGUCCCGUGCUCGCGGGAGGUGAGAGCGCGAUGCCUCGACUUGUUCUGAGUCUCUCUCGCCAAGGAGAGACGUCAAGACCUGUCUGCAGACUUAGCGCUGGCAGCGGGGGAGCUCCAGGGCGAAGGGGCUGGGAAGGCCACCGAGCUGCGUCGACCCUGGCUCGGUGUCCUGCCUUUCUUAGCCGCUGCCCCUGCCCGCUGGUUUGACCGGCAGCAUCAGAGGGAUGAGCCCGGCAGUGUGUUUUCAGUUCCUAGUCCUGCCGUGACUCACUGCUGCGUUUGACAGUCAGCCUUCUCCAAACUCCUGGUUAAGGCUCCCAAGGUGCGAGCCCGCAGCUUGACGUCCUUGGGCACCCGGCCAGGAGGGACGUGGGCAGCAGCAGAUUCCUUGGGUGAGGUGGGUGGUGCUUGCCCCCGCACCCAGUCCCUCGGGUUAGCGGAGAGAGGGCUUCCACCUUGACUGUCAGAGUGCUUGGAUAUAAUUAUGCUUAUAUAAUUCUCCAGAAAACCUCUCGGAGGCAAAGUCACCUAAUACAGCUGAGGAGAACCUUGUCAACAUGUAACCAAUCCUUAAUAUCUGCCAAGUGUUUUACAUGUACUGUUACUCUCUGCAAAAUAAUUACACCCAUUUUAAAGAUGAGGAAACUGAGGCCCUGAAAUGAUCAGUAACUUGCCUGAGAUGUCACAGCUAGAAAGUGGACGAGAUACCAAAGCUGCCAGUGGAUAAACCCUUUCACUGAAGAAGACUUAACAUUUCCAGAUAACAUGAAAAAGGAUUUCUGGAAAACAAUCUAAGCACUAGAUCAAAGCAGCCCCCUUUUCUUCUGAAGAAACAACAGUCUACCAUUUCCCCUGAUGCACAAUCGAAGCCUAUCACCCCUUCUGCAGCAGUGGCUCCAGAGAACAUCAGUAAAGAUGGUGAGACUGAAAUCCAAGCAAUAGGAUGUCCUCUGAAAGAGAUUUCUGAGGGAAGGGCAGAGGAGUCCGAGAACACUGGUGGCAAAUCUGAGUAAGCAUCCUCCCUGUCCAACAGGAGAGAAGAGCCAAGAAAGCCAAGGGGAAGCCAGCUGCCAUUUCUUCCAGACAUCACGCAACCCUGUGGAGAGGACCAAGUGACAGGGCAGUGAGAUCCUUGUUCCAACUGGUGAGAGAAACUGAGGCCUGCCAACAAUCAAGAAGAUGAACCUGGAAGCUAAUCCUGCAGCAUUCAAAUGACUACUGGCCUAGCUGACAGCUUGACUGCAAUCUCAUGAGAGACCCUGAGCCAGAACCACCCAGCUAAGCUGCCGCAGAGUCCUGGCCCUCAGAAACUGUGUGAGACAAAUGUGUUUUGUUUUAAGCUGCUAAGUUUUUGAGUAACCUGUUAUACAGCAAUAGAUAACUAAUACAACUUCUUUAAACUUCACUAUCCUAUAUCUCUAAAUUGGGUAUAUAAAUGACUGUUGUGAGGAUGAUAAAACAAUGUAUGUGAAAUUGCCUACUGCUGUUCCUGAAAAAUAAUAAAGGCAUAAAAUAUGUCAUUUUGACAAAUAUUAUUUGUUCAUGAUCAUUUUCACAUUUACCUUUUUCAGAACUCUUUUAUUUGUUUAAGAUUGGCAGAAUUUUUUAAAAAAAUACCUUUGCCCUUUGUUCUUCACUGGAACUAGUGUAGAAUACAGGUCAUUGUACACAGCUGGCUCUGUGACAUGGCCUCGGCACUCUGCUGCAGUGAAGAUGGUUUUGUUAUUUAAGGUCACUUGUGUUUAAUAAUGAAUGUCUUGCCCAGAGUGCUGAAUGGUAGUGUCCGAUGUGUAUCUAACAGGCUCACAACUAAAUAAAAUAUUUCUCUAUUGAUGCAAAUAGGUCCUGUCUUCUACUAGAACGCCUCGAGUCAUUUUAAUAUACCCCACUGGGGGAAUGCAUAUCUGUUACUGAAUCACUGAUACAGGGAGUACGUGGCAGAGAUUCUGUCUGCCACACACUCUGCAGAGUUUUCCAGUCUUAUUUUGCUUUGUCUCUAGACCUUUGCUCCUUUCCAUUGCCCCAUAAAUUUCUAAUCACAACUGCUGCCAGAUUUGCUAUGUAGCCUCAGAUCAUCUCUGUUGUUCUUUUUGCUUUUUAAAAAUUACUUCCUUAUUUCAUAUCUCAUGCUACUU